UAAAGAUCGAGGAGUUCUCAGACUUUUCUAUCUCUCUCUCUCUCCUGUCAUUCAGGUAUCCCUCCUGCUGCUGACUCUAGAACUCAUCUCUCUCCUGUCAUUCAGAUCAACAUGAAGAUCUCUAUCUUUGCUGGUGUUCUGCUGCUCUCUCUGUGCCAACUGUCCAGCGG